rnacentral:rRNA from 1 species
GAUGAACGCUGGCGGCGUGCUUAACACAUGCAAGUCGAACGGUGAACCCGGAGUUUGCUCUGUGGGAUCAGUGGCGAACGGGUGAGUAACACGUGAGCAACCUGCCCCUGACUCUGGGAUAAGCGCUGGAAACGGCGUCUAAUACUGGAUAUGUGACGUGACCGCAUGGUCUGCGUUUGGAAAGAUUUUUCGGUUGGGGAUGGGCUCGCGGCCUAUCAGCUCGUUGGUGAGGUAUUGGCUCACCAAGGCGUCGCCGGGUAGCCGGCCUGAGAGGGUGACCGGCCACACUGGGACUGAGAUACGGCCCAGACUCCUACGGGAGGCAGCAGUGGGGAAUAUUGCACAAUGGGCGCAAGCCUGAUGCAGCAACGCCGCGUGAGGGAUGACGGCCUUCGGGUUGUAAACCGCUUUUAGCUGUGAAGAAGCGAAAGUGACGGUACCUGCAGAAAAAGCCCCGGCUAACUACGUG